rnacentral:sRNA from 1 species
UCAUAAUUCAGCAAGUUUAUACGAUGGU